rnacentral:lncRNA from 1 species
CAAUUUUUUGAUGGUUAAACUUUUUUCAGCCUACAAUGCAAUCCUUGGCUGUCUGAGCUUGUGGACCUUAAAGGUCGUAGUGUCAAGCUAUCACUUGAUAGUGAAAAUUUCAAUAAAAAAUGGAGUAAGACAAAUUUGAGGCAAUCAGGUUAUGGCUCGAUAAUGUUUUGUUGCCAAACUCCGAGCAAAGGCCCAAUCUGAACUUCCAAUAGAGUUGGAUGCUUGGGAUGAUC